GUAGCUCCCAAGCUCCUCCACAGGAAGGUGUGAUCCACCCCACUUCACAGAGGCUGAACCGUUAGCUGGAGAAGUGGAAACUCCCCACCUCCACCACUGUUUCCCAGCAGCCUGAUCCGGCAUCCACUCCUCCCUGAGACUGGGAGCUGUUGCAGGAUAGAGAGUCUCUUACUUAUUUCUGCAUCUUAGCACUUGGCAUGGGACCUGGCCCUGAGCAGCCUGGAGGCUCCUCUGCCCAGCACUGACCCUAGAAGGCUUUGCAAGCCCAGAAGGACAAUACCAAGGACUUGAACUUGGACUUGCAUCUUCAAGGAGCCCAGGACCACAGAACUGCUCGUUUUCACUGGUUUCCUUUGUAGAUUCUCCUGCUCACUUUCACGGCAGGUGCCGUGCUGGCCCCCAGUGGAAGCCGAGGCAGGAAGAGUGCCACACGGAUGUUGCGUUACAGAACUACCGGACCGCAGGAAGAGCAGGCAGGCUCAGAGCCCCUGGCCUGAAGAGCCGUCAGGGAGUAGGAAGGGCGGAAAGACCGGGUCUGGGUUUGUUCGGGGUGCUAGGGGAACCGAGGCAGCGCGGGGAGAAGGCGCCCGGCCCCACCUGUGCUGGGAAGUCACUAAGGCACAGAGGAUGGGUAGGGACAGCUCGCAGGGGAAUCCACACACGGUGACACCAAUGCCAACCUUCGGGCCCAAAUAACUCCUUUGUGCACCAAAGCGCUGGCUUCAAAACUGUCCUCAAGAUUCAAGGAGAAAGAAACUUGGUUGUUUUUAAGCAUGGGAAACUAAAGGCAAUUAAAAAAAGAGGGGGGAAAAAACAUCAAAUGUCAUUAGACUUCAUCAGAAGCAUUUCUCACUCUGACAAAAGAGAAAUAACAAAGAGCGUGUUCCCGUUAUGUUUCCAGAGGGACGGUUGUGUAUGGCAGUGGAGAAGGAAGUCAUAAAAGAUGCCAGGGAAAUGCAAUAACUGGAUAUUUCAGUGCAUGGGAGUCUUAUUCUUUGGGGGCAGGGAAAACCACAGCGGAACACUUUGGACGCCCUACUUAAUUUUGAAAGAAAAGGAAAAUUAUUCGCGAUUUCAAUGGCAGCCCGAUCACAGGCCUGUACCACCGCCUCGGCAAGGAAAUUAGUUGCCAUGGCAACUUCAGGUUGCAUCAUUAAGAAUUUUUAAAAUGUUGGGAGUUGGAAGGCAGGGCUUUAAGCACUGAAGGAAGAGGUAGAGAGAGAGAGAUGAGAAGACAGACUUGAGAAGUAAAAGAAGUGGCCCAGGGACAAGUGGCAAUCUUGGCAAAAGAGAGGAAAUUAGGGGAGUGGGGCCUCCUCUCCCCACAAGUGGGUGCUGCUGCCGUCUGUCCUAGAAUCCAGAAGGAAACAGCGUCUCACCCCCUCCUGCUGGAGGUCCUCUUUGUUUCCUGCCCUAAUUUGAUUAUUUUUU